AACGAACGCUGGCGGCAUGCCUAACACAUGCAAGUCGAACGAGACCUUCGGGUCUAGUGGCGCACGUGUGCGUAACGCGUGGGAACCUGCCCUUAGGUUCGGAAUAACUCCCCGAAAGGGGUGCUAAUACCGGAUAAUGUCUUCGGACCAAAGAUUUAUCGCCUUUGGAUGGGCCCGCGUUGGAUUAGCUAGUUGGUAGGGUAAAAGCCUACCAAGGCGACGAUCCAUAGCUGGUCUGAGAGGAGGAUCAGCCACACUGGGACUGAGACACGGCCCAGACUCCUACGGGAGGCAGCAGUGGGGAAUAUUGGACAAUGGGCGAAAGCCUGAUCCAGCAAUGCCGCGUGAGUGAUGAAGGCCUUAGGGUUGUAAAGCUCUUUUACCCGGGAUGAUAAUGACAGUACCGGGAGAAUAAGCUCCGGCUAACUCCGUG
rnacentral:rRNA from 1 species